rnacentral:piRNA from 1 species
UAGAUAGUCGAAAACUCAAUG